AAGCAAGUUCACCUAGAGGUUGCCCUGGGGUGAGGGCUGGAGGCAGGAGGGGCCUGGGAUCUGAGCGGUUUAGAUCUCCAUCCAGGAUGAAGGGAAUUUCCUGAAGCUGGCUUUGCUGUCCCUCAUUCCUUUUAUGAAACACUGGACUCUUCCUGCAUCCAUAAAGAUGAAGACAUUCCUUUGCAGGGAUUUAAUUUUGGGGCUGCAUGCCUGGCCUCUGAGAAAGCCCAGGCUUCCUCCUCCUUUUGAAUCUAACUGGGGGCGGCUUUGUGCACUCCAGACCAGACCGCAUUCCCCUGAAUGCCCCUGGAAUCGCUUACUCACACUGAAAUCCGCUGCCUCAGGGCUUUCCAGGCAGAAGUAAGCCUUCUUUUCAGGGGCAAUCAGGCAGCAGCCUGGAGCAGUGAGGGAAGGGGGGGACUGCCCCCCACACACACAACCUGCACCAUGGGUCUCUAUAGACAGUGCAACUCAGGGGCCUCCCCUCUCCCUGACCCCAGGCAUUGGGUCCUGGGGGCGGCAUGCAGGCCUCAGGAGAACCCAAAGGACAACGUCUGCCAUCUGGAAAUGGGGAAACUAAGGCUGGGGAUGACACCAGAUCUACUUGUGUCAAUAGGUGAGUUUAACCCAGACAGAUUUCCUGAAUCACCACCCAGAGCCCCCCGCUACCUUUUGGCUGGGGUGGCCUUUGGUCCUUGCCAGGAGCUAAUAUUGUGCCAUCCCUGACUUGGAAUCUGGGUGUAGAAGGUAACUAUACUCAGAGGAGCGGGUCCGCGGGUGAGACACGUCCACCAAAGGUCCUUCUUGGGGAGAUGGCAUGAGAGCUUGAAUUUCUAAAGGCUGCAUUUGGUGGAGUGUGGGGGCUGGGAGGGUUGAUGCUGCCGCUGUGCAUGGCAGGUCUGAGGGGCUUUUCUUCAGCAAACAUUCAUUGUGAGCCCACCAUGUACAGGGUGCUUGGGAUUCGGAGGUGGGGGACAGGGGGAUAGGGUAGACCAAGCCUGUCGUGCCCUGCCAAUCCCCGCAGCGUGAGUGGUAGAAGGAGUGUGGGCAACGGAUCCAGAAGAGGUGACUCAGUCCCCACACUUCUGCUUAUCUGCCCUGUGUCCUUGGGCAGGUGAUCUGUUCUGCAUCGCAGUUUCCCCAUCUGCAACUUGUGUGUGACGCUAAAACCUGCCUCUCGGGGCACUUUGGAGGGAUGAAUGGACAUUACAUAGGUUAAAAAUUGCCCUGCCUCCUCUCGCCUAUCACCACAUCUGUAAAUUGAGGUACGACUCUGCCACAUAUCCAAGGUCGCUCCGAUUGCACAGUGGUUGCACACAUUGCCUUCAGGGUCUGACCAUCCUGGAUUCAAAAUCCAACUCUGCCACGUACUGCGUGGCCUGGUGCCUGGUACAGAGCUUCUUUGGGCCCUCAAAUUCCCAGCAGUAAACUGGAGAUGGCAAGAGUAGUACCUAGCUCAGACUGUGGGUGUGAUACUUAAAUGAUGUAAUUUAAAAAUAAAAGUUAUGACAGUUUCA
rnacentral:lncRNA from 1 species